rnacentral:rRNA from 1 species
UACGAGAGGCCCAAACGUUAUUCGGAAUUACUGGGCUUAAAGAGUUCGUAGGCGGCAUUGCAAGUAGGGUGUGAAAGCCCUCGGCUCAACCGAGGAAUUGCGCUCUAAACUGCAGUGCUUGAGGACCUAGAGGUGAGCAGAACAGAUGGUGGAGCGGUGAAAUGCGUAGAUAUCUGGAGGAAUACCGGUGGCGAAGGCGGCAUCCUGGACCGGCAUUGACGCUGAGGAGGCGAAAGCC